rnacentral:rRNA from 1 species
UACGGGGGGGGCAAGCGUUGUUCGGAAUUACUGGGCGUAAAGGGUUUGUAGGUGGCCCGCUAAGUCACACGUGAAAUCCCUCAGCUUAACUGGGGAACUGCGUGUGAGACUGGCAGGCUCGAGGGCAGGAGAGGAACGCGGAAUUCCAGGUGUAGCGGUGAAAUGCGUAGAUAUCUGGAGGAACACCUAUGGCGAAGGCAGCUCGCUGGGACGUUACUGACGCUGAGACGCGAAAGCGUGGGGAGCAAACAGG